CUCGGGUCGUUAGCUCAGUUGGUAGAGCAGUUGACUUUUAAUCAAUUGGUCGCAGGUUCGAAUCCUGCACGAC
rnacentral:tRNA from 2 species